CAUUGCAGUGACAGUUUCUGAGGCCUCCGGGUGGAGAGUCUGUUGUAGCAGGGAAGGUGCGGCAAGCAGAAGUAAGAAUCUGCAGUCCGGAAGUGGAGCGAGAGGAUUGGCGGUAUCCCACCUGCAGUCCGGAAGCGGAAUUAGAGGACUGACGAUAACCCACUGGCUUUCCUGCAGUCCAGAAGUGGAGCGUGAGGAUUGACGGUAUCCCACUGGCUUUCCUGUUUUACUCAGCCCCGCACCGCAGCACGGAGCUGGUGUCGCGCACACUCAGGUGCCAUGAGGUGGACAGCUUUGCUUUGUCACGAGCUCUCUGCCAUGCCUCCCAGGCCUCAGAGCAACAGAACCAACCAGCCCUGGCCCUCUGAAACCAAGGCUCCAGACAAGCCAGUUGUCUGUCUCAGCAGUAAAACAGCUUCUGGCUCCGUGAAACCUAGCCAAUAUGGAGGAAGCUUCCAGG